CAGAACCCAAGCAAUGCUUAUCUGUAUGUUUAUGAAAUGUUAGUAUGUGAUCAGUAUGUUUAUGAUAUGUUACUAUAUGAUCAACAUGUUUAUGAUGAUAGUACGUGAUCAGUAUGUUUAUGACAUAUUAUUAUGUGAUAGUGGUAGGGGUGAAAUAGUCCCCGAUUACUGGUUGAAAGAUACCGAUGAUAGUUACCGGUUGAAAGAUACUGAUGGUAUUAGGUGGUAUGUGGUAUGAUGGUGGAACUCACUAAGCUUCGUGCUUACGGUUUACAGUUUUGGUUUCAGGUACUUUGUUUCAAAGGAAAGGAGUCGGCUUGGUCGCAGCGCAUCACACUAUGUUUUCCGCACACGAGAUCCUUGGGAUUAUACUCUGAUAUUAUUUCAUAAUAUUAUAUUUUGAUUAUUCACACUCUGAUUUUAUAUAAUAACCUAAUUAAAAAUAAAAUUUUUGUUCUUGAAUUUUGGGAUGUUACAAGUUGGUAUCAGAGCCUUGGUUUGAGGGAUUCGGACAUACUCUCAGGUGUGUCUGAACUCAAAAUAAGGGCUUGGUAUGAAAAUUUUCAAAAGUAAAACCAUUUUACAAAAAGGAAAUUGAAAAGAAUCUGUAAAGGGAAAAGAACUUUGAGAACAAAGUGUGUGAUGCGUGCAAUCAGCUGAGCUUAAGUAAAUUUUCCCCAAGAUACCCAUGCGUGUUAUGAUAUGAUUAUGAAAACUGCAUGCUAGACUAGGGCUAGGGAUCUAGGAAGAUGACUUAUGUUCCUGUUGUAUGUGCUUGCUGAAUUACAUGAUAGUAUUGAUCAGUCAGUGAUAGGAUACCUGUUUAGGUUAUGCCUGAUUGUAUGACCCUUUGGAGUUACAUGCUAGUAUAUAUUCUUGAUAGGAGGGUAAACGGAUUUGAUUGGAAUGUGUUGGUUAGAUUUCCCAUUAUCUGAAUGUUGCUUGCUUUGUGCUUUGAGGGACUCUUGGUAAUGUGAGUUAGCUACUAAGUGAAUAUGCUAAAUCGCGAGUGGCUACAUUUAUGAGGUAGUGAGUUGACAUUACUGGGGAGUCUGUCAGCAGCUAAGGACUGGGUGAGUACGGGAACCUAGGAAAGCCUAGUAAGUGCUUUAGUGGGUUCGGUUGCGUUGUUAGUAAUCAUUCAGGGUACCAGUUUGAGGAAGUGACUUGGAGGAUUAAGGAGGAUUGUUGCGGAAAGUAUGGAUAGGUGUGGAAGGUAGUAUUGGGCCCGUACUACUGAAAGCACAGGAUCCAUACUCGAAUCGGAGAGAGUCUUGGAGAAUCUGAGAAGCUUCGGGGAGAACUUUGUGACUCGGUUUGGGGAUAGAGGAUGUUCCAGUUGUUACAGCAUAGCCAUUGGCAAGCGAGCUAGUGAUUGUGACAGAGUGUCAGACCCUGAAGGAUAUGAUUUCCAAGAAGUUGUAGAUGCGAGAUCGAAUUGGGAGCACUCUAGAACGAGAGGUUCAUGUCAGGUGUGUUUAGUAGAGGGUUCCGGGAAGAGACCUAUGACUUCCGGUCAUCGGGUGAAAGGCCAGCAGGGCCAGAGUCAGUGCAUCACAUACAGCAAAGUGCACAAGGGAGUUUGUCGCUCCAAGGGUUUAGGCUACUGCAGGGUAGCGCGGUUGAUCGUGAUAGUUGAGGGUGUUCAGUAUUCCUUCAGAUGUUGUAGGUAUGUCGUCUUCUACUGCUAAUAAAUGGAUGAUGGGAAUACGUAUCACUUUGGGAUUGUGAGCGAGUUUGGGUAAGUCAGAUCUCGGGUCGAUUUUCUGCUGGUGUUUGGGUUAUCAGGGAUCAUAUAUGCCAUCCAGCAUGCCGAAAGGUCCUUGAUGAACCCACAGAAGGAUGUACCUUGCGGAGUGGGUUCCGCGUGUACCGUCAUCAUCCCGAAUCUUUGUCGAGAUAUGUGCAGGAGUAUUGUUUGGAAGAUCCUCGGUCAGGGUUAGAGAGAUAGUUCUGCAUUGAAGUUAGUGUUCAGUGGUACUGUGAGAUUGGAAGUGGGAACGAGGACUCGUCAGCCAGAGUGAAGAUUAAGGCCUCUAGUGUCAGCACGGGAGGUGGAUUGAGGUGUCAGAUUGGACCAGAUUUCAAGAGUACUCAUCGAGAUUUCCGAGUAUGGGCGAUCUUAAUGUUUAACCGAUGACUAAUCGCUAGGAUUGGUAAGCACAGGUUGUCAUCAGUGGGAUACUAGAAAGAGAGAAGGAUUGGGAAUCCUUCAAUUCUUACGUGUUGUGAAGACUUAGUUGAAUCUAAGUGGGGGAUAUACUUUUUAUAAAGUUCUCUAAUUGUGAGUUCUGGUUGCGUGGGGUGCAAUCUCUUGGGCACCUUGUCAACCAGAAGGGUAUUCUAGUUGAUCCGGCCAAGAUAGAGGUCGUGAUGCAGUGGGAGAAUCCGAGGUCACCAUCUGAGAUUCAGAGUUUCCCGGGUCUAGCAGGUUAUUAACGGAGACUUAUACGAGACUUCUCUGAGAUUGUGGUUCCUUUGACCCGACUGACCAAGAAUUCAGUGGCCUUUCGUUGGGAGCCUGAGUAGCAGGCAGCCUUUGAGACUCUCAGACAGUGGUUGUGCGAGGCACUGAUGCUCACUAUUCCAGAGGGUGUAGAUGAUUUCGUGGGUUACUGUGAUGCUUUGAUCAUGGGAAUGGUUUGUUGUACUGAUAGAGUGGGGUCACAUGAUAGUAGGUUUUAGGAACCAGGUUAGAGUUCCAGUUAGGAAUCAAGUUCAGUGGUGUGUUAGGUCGAAUGUGUGUUUGACCCAGUUAGAAAGUGUUGUAAGACUACAGGGGUAGCUGUAUCAUCCACUAGUGGUCAGAUAGUUAGGGAAGUGUCGUAAGACUACGGGGGUAGCCGUAGCAUUCACUAGUGGUCAGAUAGUUUCGAAGGUGAUGUAAGACUACGGGAUAGCCGUAGCAUUCACUAGUAGGGAUGCAAAAGGGGGCGGAUAUUAGCGGGGAUUGCAAAACCCAUCCCCGUACCCGACUUCCACUGCCCAUACCAUCCCCGCGCCCGCCCCGCCAAAUGCCCGACGGAUUCGGGUAAAAAUAUCCCCAUCGGAUACAGGGAACCCGAUGGAUACCCGUUUAGUAUAAAAAGCACAAUUACUUUUGUAAUUCUAAAAAUAUAGAUAAGCAUAAACAAUGAUUGUGACAACGAAAAUGUUCAAAAGUUCAUACUUCAUUUUCAUAAAUGAUACAAUACAAAAAAUCACGGCAUUUUCAUGUGUGUUAAGAAACUAAAAAAUAAAACAACAAUUAUAAAUUCCAUUCUUGCGUUCUUGUUCAAAAAAAAAUUUAUCUUCAUCGCCAUCGAAUCUUUAUAAACUAAUUAUCAAAAUCUAGCAUGCUUGUAUCCACAAUGCUUGUAUUAUGCUUGUAUCCACAAUGCUUGUAUUGAUAAUGCAAAUGUGUUCUUUUUCCCACUUAAUUGUUUCCUGCAAUAAUAAAGAAGAUGAUAUUCGGUUGUAAAAGAACGAAUAGUAAAUAUCAAUGUGCAAGUAUUUUUCUUAUAUUAAACAACCCUCGAGAGUCCAGAGGAUAUGGAUUAAAAAGUUAAUGGAAUACAUAUUCAAAAUAUUAUAUAACAGCAAAUAGCAAACGAAAAAAUCCAUAUUUUUGCACAACACUAAAUAUAUAUCAGUUAUCAGUGGCUCUUAGAAAACAAUGCCUUCAAUAUUUCUAUUACUCCUAACUGGAUCGAUUCAAUAAAAAUAAAAAUAAUGUCCAAGUAUUUUCUUAUUUUAUACAUCUAGGAGCAAGCCAUUAAUUCUACUGAUUCCGUUAAACCACAAAAAUGGAUCGAUUAUUGCAAAGAACGUGUUGAGUUAAGUAAAGGAAAUCGAUAUUGCAAAGACCAAGUACAUAAAAUCGAGUAAAGAAAACAUAUUUCAAAAAACGAUUACUUAAAAUCGGUUCAACCAAAUUGAAAAAACGAUUAUAGAAAAUCAAGUACAAGAAACCUAUUAAAGAAAAGAAAAACGAGUUCGGUAAGGAAAAGAAACAUACUUAUCCGAUAGAGGAGAAUCGUUCACAGCCAUACUUGAAGGAGAAAAGAAAAAAAAUAAGUUUGGUAACGAAAAGAAGGGGAAGUUGAGAAGUAGAGUAUGGAAGCGGAUUUCUAAUGUUUUGAAUCAAAGAAUUUUACUAGAGAAGUAGAACUGGAGAAUCGAAAUGCAGGAAAAGUCUUCGACAUUAAUAAAUGCAGGAGAAGUGUCGAGUUUGAAAUCGAAAUGCAGUGGAUGCAAUUGGAUUUCUCACAGGUCACAUGCUCACAGAUUACUAAGAGACACAUGACGGUUCAAUAGUCUAUGUGUUGUGAAUUGAAAACAAUUAAUAGCAAUUAAUGAAAAUUAAAAACUGAUUUUGAUAUAGAUAUAUAUACCAGAAAUUAAUAAUUAAUUCAAAUUAGCAUGUCUGCCACGUAAGGUACUGAAAGCCCUUGCUGCUUCUUCAUUCCAGGUGAAGCUAUCUGGCUUUCUGGAAGAAAGGUGCCAGGUUCAUCAGGGUCGAAAUCAAACCUGAUAGAAGAUUCAUCAAAGUGCUUGGGUUCCUCAAAUGCCCAACUCGAUUUGGACUUAUCGGGUCUAAAACGGAGCGGAUAGUAUUAUACCCGUCCCCGCCCCGUCCCCGUUUCGGGUAAGAUAUAUAAUCCCCAUCCCCGAUCCGUUACCCGUUAAAGCGGGGAAUCCCCGAUCCGUUCGGGUCGGGUCCCCGCGGGUCGCGGGGAAUCCCCGACCCGUUUGCAUCCCUAUUCACUAGUGGUCAGUUAGUAUGGAAAGUGUUGUAAGACUACGGGGGUAGCCGUAGCAUUCACUAGUGGUCAGUUAGUUUGGGGAGUGUUGUAAGUCUGCAGAUGUAGCCGUAGCAUUUGUUGGGUUGGUAGAUAGCAUGUGUGCAUUGUUAGGACGCGGAAGGAGCAAUAGUACCCACCAGUUCGGGUGCAGCAGUGAGGAUAUGGAAAUCCACAGAUUGGAUUUCGGAUUUACUCAAAUGGAUUAGAUCUGGUUAAGCCAAUGAGACUGUAGGGGCGUCACUACAAUUAUGGGAUCAGGAAACCAAUGGACUGUAUGAGAUUUCUUGUGAUUUAAGGCUACCAUCGGUUAGUUGGCAAUCACUGUUAGCCUUGGAUUUGAUGAUGAUAAGAUUCAAUGCAUGGACGCGUUCGGUUAGAUCAGAAAGUUGUUAGAGCCUCAAUGACAUGAUAACUAGUGGCAACUAGUUCUGGAGAAGGAUUUUGUUCGUAAGUCACGUGAGGCGACUAAGUGGGAGUCCCUUGGCUCCACUGUCGGGCCGAAACCUGGUAUUUCAGAUGGUUGGUGAAUAAAUUGAGACCAGGAAGGUCUCGUUAGAUUUUGGAAAGCAACCAUGUGGCAACAUACUUCUUCAGGUAGUUUAGUGUUCGGGCAGUUUCAGUGUUUGGGCAGUCUUGGCAUUUUUGUUUCAGGUUGCAAGUACGGACGGAAUAGCCGGUUGUCGGGGAAGUGACAAGUCACUCCCAGCAGGAUUAGAUGAGCCUCGAUCAAGAUUAAGUGAUUUGUAGGGGUAAUUAGGUCUGUGAGCCUGUUUUAUAGUGGGAGCCUCGAGUUGUUGAAAGUUGAGUAGUCGGUCGAGGGAUAAACGGACUGGAUUCAUCGAUGAUGAAUCAAUAUGAGUGGUCUGUCAAGGAAUCAGACCAUCUCGAGAUAGUAGAUUCAGACGAAGUAGAUGUGAACUUAUUGUGAGAAAUUCGUUCACCUGCGGAUUUUAGGGCUUUACGAGGAUUAGUCAUGGCUACCCUGGGAAGGCUAGGGCGUGGCUAGGUUGGUGACCAUGCUACUAGAGUGGUUGGGCGAGUAAGGAAUGGUAAGGAAUGAUUUCGAGGACGAAAUCUAAUUUAAGUGGGGGAGAGUUGUAACAACCGUUUAUUAAUUAAAUAAAUAAAUAAAGAAAUAAAGGACUCGUAGCCCUAAAGUAAAUAAUUAUGUAUAAAAGGAUGGUCUCGAAGAGCUAAUUGCCACCAUUUUAGAAGUCGAGGGUUAAAAGUGUAAUUUUCGGACUCAGUUUAUAAUUAUUUAUGAAGAUAGGGGCUCUGUGGUAAUUAGUUGAAUUUAAUUUAAAAGGAAAUGAGGUGGAAGGGCUGAUUAUGUCAUAACUGAGAAUUAGAGGUUAAAAAGCGAAAUUAUGGAUUGAUUUUGAAAAGGAUUUGUUGAGAGAGGGGUUGUUUAGUAAAAUUUGGACUUAAAUUGUAAAGGAAUUGAAGAGGCAGGGUCCAAAUGGUAAUUUGUGGGUUUGUUUUGAAAGAAAGGGAGACAGAGGGACCAUUCCUGUCAAUAUGGCCGCGAGUUUCAAACACCGGGUAUUUAACUGUGUUAUUGAUCUCAUAACCCUAACCCUAAUGUGCAACAGCCGUCACCCUCUCCAUCUUCACUUCUAGUAGCCGCCACCACCAUUAGAACCCUCAUCACCACCGGACGUUGUGAUCGUCAGAGAGAGAGAACCGUCGNUCAUAGAAUCCCUCCUUAGCCGCCGAUGGCAUCACGGAUUCCGGCAAGCAUGCCGUUUCCCAGCCGUCGUUUCCUUCAUUGUCCAGGUCAGGCGAGACUGACGAGCUCGCUGUUCCAGUAGAUGCCGCUACCGCUGUUUAUGCUAAAAACGACCGAGGAACCGCAGUGUUAUCUAGCUGCCGAUGAGGACGAAGUGUCCACUACCCAGUCGUUGAGAUCGAGAAUGAUUUCGUGGUUGGGUCGCUCCCUCUCAUAUCCGACGGAGGCGAGCCUUGAACCUUGGUGGGGUCGUAGGAAGGCUAGUCGAGCACGUCCCGUAAUUGCCACCGUCUUCCCUCUCUUGUCCCUAUUCUCUUGCCGUGGCAUUGUCUCCGGGGAAGGCGUGGUUGCCACCGCCGGUAACUACUACCGUUGCCGUCAGAAAUGGCCUUUGGUCGCCGUUUCAAUUUGUUUCAGACGCCACUGUGUCGUUGUUCUCCUCCGUUGUUAAUGUGAGGGUGUGUGCUUUGCGUGUGUGUGUUAGUUUCAGCUGGCUGUUGGUGAUUAGAAUGUGUUGUGUGUGUCUUGUCUAGUCGGAACCCCAAGAAAAGACCACCACCACCGUGAGGUGGCGGCUGACACCGUGUACCACCACUGACCACCACAAGGGUGGUUGUGGGUAUGCGUUGUUUUAGUAUAGCGUGUGUGUUAUUUCAUGAAUUCAUUGUAAUUGUAAAAAAACCGGAAUAAUGAAAUGGAACUCAAACCACUACCGUAGGGUGGUGGCUGCCGCCUCCUACCGCCACCGGCCGCCGUGUCGGGUGGCGGUGUGCUUAGUUGUGUUUUAAUUUAGUUGGGAUGCUUGGACAAGGGACUAAAACCCUAAUGGGCCUUGUAAGCCCUAAUGGGCCCAAUAAAGCCCUAAUUGACAUUAAAGCCCAAACAUGUGUCUAAUGGGCUUAGUGAACCCUAAUGGAUGUAAUGACUUAGCUAUUGGGCCUAAUGGACUAAUGUGGUUUGGAAACCUUAAUUAGGGUCUGGAAAACCCUAAUGCAAUGAAACGCUAAUUUUGAGAAUUAAUCGGGACACACACACGAGAAUUAUUAAUAACUUGAAAUAUUAAAUAAUAAGCAUUGGCCAGAUUAAUCUAAGCGAUAUUGGACUUAAUGGAUUAAGUCCUUAGAGGAUUAAGUCCUUAUUGGGUUAAGUAGGAAACCUAACCCUAAUUGUCAUUUUAUGUGAAACCCUAAUCUCAUUUCGGUUUAUUAUUGGGCCUUGAUGAUCGGGUUAUUAAUGGGUCAUCCAAAGUCAAGCAAUUGGACUAAAAUAAAUUAAUGGGCUUUGUUGUAAGGACCAUAUGAGGAGUUGGGCCCAAUUUAGAAAAUUGGGCCAUAGAUGGGCCAUAGUUUGGGCCUUCAUGAUUAUAUGAUAUUGGGCCUUAGAAUAAGACCAUGUAUAGGCCUGGGCCCAAUUUGGAAAAUUGGGCCAUGUGCUGGGCUUUGAUUCCUAGUUGACUUUGGGCCUAUGGAUUGGGCCUUGGGCUUGAAUAUGCCAAACUUAGGGUAAUGUAGUAAUUAUCCAAGUAUGUGUUAUGGUUAUGUAGUGGAACCCGAUUAUUAAUUGGGUGUUAUUUUGGUAUUGACAGUUCGGGAAUCUGUCAUCUAGCAGUUGGGGUUGAGUCUGCGGGACUUUAGCAGUGUGGGAUUGUGUCUACGGGACUUCAGCAGUGUGAGGUGAGUUACCUUCCAGUAGGGGUGGGUCUAAGGCCACAAUGCCGGCCCACCAACAGGGGUAAUUGUCUUUGUGAUAAUUAUCUUGGUAUGUUUAUGUGAUAUGCUCUUGAGAUAUGCUUAUGUGAUGUCCUUAUGAGAUAUGUUUAUGUGAUAUGCUUAUGCGAUAUGCUAUGUGUGUUAGUGGUAGUAGCAGGUAAUAGUUUUUCCCUGACUCGGUCGUUAGGAUCUGUGACAUCCCCAUUUUUCACGGCCAGAAAAGACCGAUUUUUGUUUAUACUUUAUAAAAAUCAGAGUACUUAUUUGAAUAAAAAUGUUGUGAAAUUUGUUCUCAGUAAAACAUGAAAAAUACGUUAUCAAAGCAUUUUUGAAGAAAUGUAUUUUUAUUCAUUUUAAAACGUUUGGGAUGUCAUCGUUAAUACAGAUACAUAAGCAUAAACAGAACUUACAUUCAUUAUCACUAGUGAUCUACAUCUCUUUAAUCUCCUAGUGUAAUGUGACUUCAUAUCAACACCUGUGAUAUAAAUAAACUGAGUGGGUUCGGUUGGGAAACAUGGUGAGUACAAAGGGUUUUCAUCCCACAAUAAAUAAGUUUAUUAAUUUUAUCAAACCAAACAAACCCGAUUACCCGUUCCCGUUAUCCUCACUUUAUAUCCCUAAGACAUCUAACACAAGGGACCUAGUCUAAGGACUUUCAUCGGGGUGACAACACAUGCUUUGGGGGUUCCUUAGUAAUUCAUGUCAAAUAAGGCAACCAUGUGGGGGAUGGAGUACUUCACACAGAUCAAAUAAACACACAGUUCAAAUAAACACUUACAGGUUGCGAGCCUGCUAGCGUUCCACUGGACUGUCUAGAAAAGUCCGUGGUCGUCAUCUAUACUCCGCUAGAUGACUGGAUCAUCAAAACAUCUAUAUCGAGGCCUCUUGUUAUAUUAUUUGGUCACACAGAAACUAUUACAUCUACCCAUGUUCUACCCAACACAUUUUGUAGAUAUAAAAUACAUAUUCAGUUUAAAUCAUGUAAAACUUGUAUAAAAUCGUUCAUCCAACAUAGAUAGCAAGUAUACAGAUCGUAUGCACACAUAGCACGUAAUUUAUUUAAAAUACUUCAUAUGUAUGUGUAAGAUGAAAGUAACUGUGCACUCACUUUAUUAGGUGGUGAGCCGGCACUCGGACAACACUUCGUUACUCAUAAAACAAUUUCCUCGACAAAACCUAGUAUCAAUAUGAGUAGGGUUUAGUCUGACGUUAACCGCGACUAAUUAAUAGUCUAUCUAUCUAUUAUUAUUAUAUAAACAUUAAAUAACACUCUAUAUAACUCAUAAUAAUAGCCCAAAUACUUAUUAUAAGGUCCUAAUAACAUUACUAUAUUAAAACAUAAGUUAUACUAAAGAUAGGGUAGGCAUAGCUCACUUACAGCGGGUUUUCUUGAAAACCGGGCUUCGUUGGAGCAGCGUUCCCGAGCCAAAAGGCUCUUUUCUCGGGACUCUGAGAGCCUCGAUGCUUCCUUCGGGUGCUAGGGGGUUUACCUAGACUUUAGGGGGCUUAAGGGAGGUUACAGAAAGAAACUAGAGAGAGAAAGUUUAAGGGUGAGGUGUGAGGAAGUUGGAAUGCCCGACACCUCUAUUUAUAGGCUGAAUUCCUGAUGGACUCGCCAAGUAGGAGGACGUACUCUNAGUGUAGAGAGAGAAAGAAUGGUUUGGAAAGGUGUGAGAAUGAAUGGAACCCGACACCUCUAUUUAUAAUGUGAAAUACUGAUGGAAUCGCCGAGUAGGAGGACCUACUCGCCGAGUUGGGGCAUAUGGCGGCAUUCUGGUGGUGCCACGUCACCCCCUAUCGAGUAUCAGCCUUCAAACUUAGAAAAAUCACAACUUUCGCAUACGAGCUCCGUUUUUGACGUUCUGUUUUUCAACGCGUAGGAAAAAUCAAGAUCUACAACUUUCAUUUAGACUCCGUCGGCUAAUUCUCGACCGAUCUCAAAUUUAACAGUAGGAGGCGUUUAGACUGUUAAAUGACCGCGAAGAAUUCGUAACUUCUUCAUACGGACUCCGUUUUCGUAUAUCUUUUUACCGUUGAGUUCCUAUUAAUGAGAUAUUCAACUCUCAUUUAGGUCGCAUAAGCCAAAAACUGCUCAAACUAAAAUUCGAGUUUUGGGGUGUACACUACUAAGCCGAAACUUCGAAAAAUCAUAACUUCCUCAUACGAAGUUAGAUUUGGGCGUUCUUUUUAUGAAUUUUCUCGUUUUAACAUACUAUACAACUUUGGUUUAGAUUAGUAAGGCUAAAAAUUCUUCUAUCGUAAAUUCACUUUUUACGCUUCCCGGUGCCAUGCCGGUUUUGUCGUAAAACUUCGACGGGCCAUAACUUUUUCGUUAUAACUCGGAUUUCGGCUUUCUUUAUAUGUACGGAAACCUUGAGACAUAUUAUAAAACUUGGGUUAAUAUUAUUUAUUAUAAAUAAUCUUUUGUCGAAAAGUCAUUUUCAAUCCCUAUUGCCUUUAAAUUUACUAGCCCGGAUCUACGGGCGUUACAAUUAUCUCCCCCUUAGGAUGAUUACGUACCGGAAUCAUCAAUGAAACAGGGCUCUUAUAAUGACUCCAUACGUCAUCUCUUCAUCCUAGGUAAUAAUUAUAACUUCUUUAUUCCUUCAAGUCUAUCUCUUAGACUUAUUGACUGUAAGCAGUACUUGAUCGUGCACUUGCUCUCUACCUCAGGUUAGACUCCAAGUUAUGACCUAUCAUCAUGUGAUGCACGUUUAGACUCAGGUCUCUUAGAGUUAAAUUCUAAAACAUACUAUGCCUUCCUUCAUAUUCUAAUGUGAUAUAAUCACACUUUAACAUGUAGCAUUUCUAGCUACCAACUUCUUUAACAACGAGCGCAAUACUUCUAUUUAUCGCUUUGAUUUCAAUCGUUUGGUUUAAGUCGGACGCUACAUCAAACUUGGUUCUCUAAAACACGUAACCUACUCAUCGUAGUUGGACUCAAUGUGAUAUGACCACUAGGGUCGGGAUAACAACAAUUUUCUUAGUCAUUACCGAAACAAUGGUAACGACAUACUUGAAUAAAGCGAAAUCAUUUACUAGCCUCUUGGUAACCUUGUGACUUUCCCUGAUCCAAGUGUGAGUCCUGUGCUUCCGGUAGUAUAGGCCUCUACUACCUUUCACACCUACUCAUACUCGUCCCAAGUAUUGUCCCGCAGUUCACCCAAGUCACCAUACAAGAAAAAUCAUAUAACAACUUGACACAUUAGAUAACAAAACUAGGUUUUAUAUUAUUCCUUGAAACGAUUACAUAGGUGUUCAAGUUCAACCUAUACUAUGCCUCUAAUAGGCUACACCACGUGGUACUACUUACACGACUACUUCAUAGAUCCUCAUUCCUGAUCCCUUUCAUUUCCAUCUUCUUCGUCGAGGAUCAUAUGGAACGCUCUUGCCUUCGGUUUUGGUGGAAUGUUUGGUCUUUUUGCCUCCUUCUUUUUCAGGCAAUCCUUAGCAACAUGCCCUUCUUCACGGCAUUCAUAACACACCCUUUUGUUGGCGGUGCACUCGUUGGCAUAAUGUAAGGUCUUCCCACACUUGUAGCAAGUCACUUCCUCGCUACAUUUCCUAAAGUGAUCCUUCUUGCACUUCUUGCAUCAUUUCACUUUGUUUCCUCCUCCGCUAAACUCCUUUGAACCAGACUUGAUCUUCUUAUUAGGCCUCGUAGACCCCUCAAACUUCCUCUUUUCGCCAAAAUCAAUCUUGUUGGCAGCUCUUCCCUUAAUCAUAUCCUCCACAGACUUUGCAGCCCAGAUAGCUACCUCCAGAGUAGGUGCCUGACGCACUGGCACCGCGUACUCCCAUGGAAGUCCCUUUGCGUACUUGUCGAUUUUCGUCAGCUCAUCCGGAACAAGACGCAAGGCGAAUUCCAUCUUCUCUGUGAAGUUGUUGGUGUAUUCAUCAAUUGACAUGCUUCCUUUCUUAAAGGUCAGGAACUGGUUCUCUAGCUCGAGUAAGUUUUGAGCUGAGCAGUACUUUCGUUUGAAUUGCACCAGAAACUCUGCCCAUGUCAGUUGCAGGGGCUCAUUGGGGCUCAAAGUCUUCCCUAGGGUGUUCCACCAGCGAACAACGCCUCCUCGAAACUGACGUACUGUAAAUGUGGUCUGUAGUUUUCCUCUGCAACUGCAUGUCAUGAAGGCUAACUCCAUCUCCGAGAUCCAAUCCAUGACUCCGAUCGGAUCUUCCUUUCCCGUGAAAGUCGAGGGCUUGCAACUCAGAAAAUCCUUGUACUUGCAUUCAUUCAUCUCGACUCCGUCAUUUUGGUUGUUUUGUUGAACUAUUGGUGGGUUGACUUGACCAACAGUCCCACUGUAGUUUCCCUCCUCAAUCUGCCCUUCGUUUAAUUUGGGCUGUUCGAUCUGAAUAGUCGCUUCCUCUUGAUUUUGCUGGAGAAAACGUCUGGCUUCCUCCAUUUGACGAUCCAACAUCGCCUGGAUCAUCGCUUGCACUCCGGCCAUCGUUAUUGGCUCAGCAGCGGCUUCCACAACCGGUAUUUGCUCAAUCACUGGGGGCUGAUCUCGGUUCCCAUUUGCAUUCAUGUUUCCGCUACGGGUACUUGCCAUCUUGAUCUAUACACCGAAUAAGGUGAAUCUAGAUCUUUAUUUAGGAUUGACGUUUAAAUCAUCCUUAUCACUCCGAAACGUUUAUAUGCUAGUUCUAAUAUCGUAUUCGUACGUUUAGAAUCCUAAACACAUAAGGUUUCCAGAUCCGGUCGGCAACAGACCAUAGAUCCGAUCAAACUAUAGCAUAACAAAUCAUUUAACACGUAAAAGCAAUUUAGGCAUCAUUCCUAAAAUAAGCUAGUGCUUGUGUCUAUUCAGGUGUAUUACCUAAAUCUAUUAGACACACUCCUCACAAUCAUUACUUAGCAUUCUAAGUUUAAGUCUAGAAAUAAAUUCCAUAUUCCUAGUUCGCUUAAACUAAUGCUCUGACACCAACUGUGACAUCCCCAUUUUUCACGGCCAGAAAAGACCGAUUUUUGUUUAUACUUUAUAAAAAUCAGAGUACUUCUUUUAAUAAAAAUGUUGCGGAAUUUGUUCCCAGUAAAACAUGAUAAAUACAUUAUCAAAGCAUUUUUGAAGAAAUGUAUUUUUAUUCAUUUUAAAAUGUUUGGGAUGUCAUCGUUAAUACAGAUACAUAAGCAUAAACAGAACUUACAUUGAUUAUCACUAGUGAUCUACAUCUCUUUAAUCUCUCAGUGUAAUGUGACUUCAUAUCAACACCUGUGAUAUACAUAAACUGAGUGGGUCCGGUUGGGAAACCUGGUGAGUACAAAGGGUUUUCAUCCCACAAUAAAUAAGUUUAUUAAUUUUAUCAAACCAAACAAACCCGAUUACCCGUUCCCGUUAUACAGAUCGUAUGCACACAUAGCACGUAAUUUAUUUAAAAUACUUCAUAUCUAUGUGUAAGAUGAAAGUAACUGUGCACUCACUUUAUUAGGUGGUGAGCCGGCACUCGGACAACACUUCGUUACUCAUAAAACAAUUUCCUCGACAAAACCUAGUAUCAAUAUGAGUAGGGUUUAGUCUGACGUUAACCGCGACUAAUUAAUAGUCUAUCUAUCUAUUAUUAUUAUAUAAACAUUAAAUAACACUCUAUAUAACUCAUAAUAAUAGCCCAAAUACUUAUUAUAAGGUCCUAAUAACAUUACUAUAUUAAAACAUAAGUUAUACUAAAGAUAGGGUAGGCAUAGCUCACUUACAGCGGGUUUUCUUGAAAACCGGGCUUCGUUGGAGCAGCGUUCCCGAGCCAAAAGGCUCUUUUCUCGGGACUCUGAGAGCCUCGAUGCUUCCUUCGGGUGCUAGGGGGUUUACCUAGACUUUAGGGGGCUUAAGGGAGGUUACAGAAAGAAACUAGAGAGAGAAAGUUUAAGGGUGAGGUGUGAGGAAGUUGGAAUGCCCGACACCUCUAUUUAUAGGCUGAAUUCCUGAUGGACUCGCCAAGUAGGAGGACGUACUCUCCGAGUUGGGGCAUGUGGCAGCCUUCUGGUGGUGCCACAUGUCCAAUUAUGGUGGUGCCACAUCACCCCUAUCGCGUAUCAGCCUUUAAAAUUAGAAAAAUCAUAACUUUCGCAUACGAGCUCCGUUUUUGACGUUUUUUUUCAAAACGUAGGAAAAAUCAAGAUCUACAACUUUCAUUUAGACUCCGUCGGCUAAUUCUCGACCGAUCUCAAAUUUAACAGUAAGAGGCGUUUAGACUGUUAAAUGACCGCGAAGAAUUCGUAACUUCUUCAUACGGACUCCAUUUUCGUAUAUCUUUUUACCAUUGAGUUCCUAUUAAUGAGAUAUUCAACUCUCAUUUAGGUCGCGUAAGCUAAAAAACGCUCGAACUAAAAUUCGAGUUUCGGGCUGUACACUACUAAGCGGAAACUUCGAAAAAUCAUAACUUCCUCAUACGAAGUCAGAUUUGGGCGUUCUUUUUAUGGAUUUUCUCAGUUUAACAUACUCUAAAACUUUGGUUUAGAUUACUAAGUCUAAAAAUUCUUCUAUCGUAAAUUUACUUUUUACGCUUCCCGGUGCCGUGCCGGUUCUGUCGUAAAACUCCGACGGGCCAUAACUUUUUCGUUAUAACUCGGAUUUCGGCGUUCUUUAUAUGUACGGAAACCUUGAGACAUAUUAUAAAACUUGGGUUAAGAUUAUUUAUUUCUAAAUAAUCUUUUGUCGAAAAGUCGUUUUCGAUCCCUAUUGCCUCUAAAUUGACUAGCCCGGAUCUACGGGCGUUACAAGAUCGAAGGGUAGGUCAGUACCCAGAAAUGCCUAAAUGUAUGAUUAUAUCAUGAUAUUAUAUGAUAGUGGUAGGGGUGAAAUAGUCACCGGUUACCGGUUGAAAGAUACUGAUGGCAGAUACUGGUUGAAAGAUACCGAUGGCAGAUACCGGUUGAAAGAUAUCGACGACAGUUACCGAUUGAAAGAUACCGAAGGGGUAUACAGAACCCAUGCAAUGCUUAUCUGUAUGUUUAUGAUAUGUUAGUAUGUGAUCAGCACGUUUAUGAUGAUAGUACGUGAUCAGUAUGUUUAUGACAUAUUAUUAUGUGAUAGUGGUAGGGGUGAAAUAGUCCCCGGUUACCGGUUGAAAGAUACCGAUGACAGUUACUGGUUGAAAGAUACUGAUGGUAUUAGGUGGUAUGUGGUAUGAUGGGGGAACUUACUAAGCUUCGUGCUUACGGUUUACAGUUUUGGUUUCAGGUACUUUGUUUCAAAGGAAAGGAGUCGGCUUGGUCGCAACGCAUCACACUAUGUUUUCCGCACACGAGAUCCUUGGGAUUAUACUCUUAUAUGAUUUCAUAAUAUUAUAUUUUGAUUAUUCACACUCUGAUUUUAUGUAAUAACCUAAUUAAAAAUGAAAUUUUUGGUCUUGAAUUUUGGGAUGUUACAUGUUUAUUCUUCGAAAUCAAUCUAGGUAAAAAAAUUAUGGUAAACUCGAUCUUUUUUAGGAUAUUGAAACUUAUUUAGAAAAAGAUUUGUACUAAAUUAUAUUUUAAUAAUUUUUAUAAUUUAAAAGGGAUUUGACAUUAAGUCACAUUGUUUAGCGUUUAAGGGUUAUGACAUUUAGUCAUACGUGUUAGAGUUUAAGGGUUAUGACAUUAAAUCACAUGUGUUAGGGUUUAAGGGUAAUUGCAUUAAGUCAUAUUGUUUAGUAUUUAAGGGUUAUCACGCGAAGUCAUAUAGAUUAGGGUUUAAGGGUUACAACAUUAAGUUAUAUGGGUUAGGGUUUAAGGGUAAUUGUAUUAAUUCAUAUUGGUUAGGGUUUAAGGGUUAUGACAUUAAGUCAUAUGUGUUAGUGUUUAAGGGUUAUGGCAUUAAGUAAUAUGGGUAGAGGUUUACGGGGUUAUGACAUUAAGUCUAUGGGUUAGGGUUUAAGGGUAAUUACAUUAAGUCAUAUUGGUUAGGGUUUAAGGGUUAUGGCGUCAAGUCAUAUGGGUUAGGGUUUCAGGGUAAUUGCAUUUAGUAAUAUUAGUUAGGGUUUAAGGGUUAUGGCAUUAAGUCAUAUGGGUUAGGGUUUAAUGGUAAACGCUUGGUUAGAGUUUAAGAGUUAUGACAAUAAGUCAUAUGGGCUAGGGUUUAAAGUUUAUGGCAUUAAGUCAUAUGCGUAAGGGUUUAAGGGUAAUUGCAUUAAGUCACAGAUAUUAUAGUUUACGGGUUGUGGCAUUAAGUCAUAUGGGUUAGGGUUUAAGUGUUAUGACAUUAAGUAAUAUGGGUUAGGGUUUAAGGGUAAUUGCAUUAAGUCAUACAUGUCAGGGAUAAUUUUUUUAAACCAUUUUACUUUAGACGUAUAUAUAUGUUACAAAAUAUGCAUUUGAUAUUCUUUUAAUUUUAGUUAUCAAUACUAAUUGAAAGAUCUAGUAUGCUCAAAAGUCAUAUUAAAGUGAUAUUGCUAAAUAACAUAUGAUACUAAUGGGUCACACUAAC
rnacentral:lncRNA from 1 species